UGGGAAGGAAAGGACACGUCAGCAUCUGGCCGCGGGGCGCGGGGGGCCAUGGGAGCCCCAGGGGCGGAGCCAGCCGCGCCCUCCCGCCUGACCUCGCCCAUGACGUCCUUCCCCGCUGGCCUCAGGGGCGCACACUUGUAUACCCACCUAGGUGGGCGCCGCUGUACCCGGGAAUGCGGCCUGGGAGGGUGGAGCCACGCAGGCAGAGUCCUGGAGGAAUCUCCGUACCCGCUCCACUCGACUUCCGACAUUUUACCUUGGCUAAAAGAAGGAAAGGGACUUUGAAAUCCUUAAAGAAGACUUUUUUUGUGUGCAAUGGAGAACAAACACAGAAUGUAGUCUGAAGAUGCACAAGAUUCACUGAAACAAACAAAGCAUCCUAUUUCUUGAACUUCCUUGAAAAUAAAUUUAGGAAAUAUGUUCCUCUCAGUAAUAAUGGCCUGAAUAUAUUGAGCACUAAACAUAUGCACUAAACAGACUCUGUGCUACAUGCUUUUACCUACAUUACAUAAUUUAACCCUUAAGACAAUCCUAUGAAGUAGAUAUAGUCAAUCUCUUUCC
rnacentral:lncRNA from 1 species